ACUCUGUCAGUUCUGCACAAUCUGUGUAGAAGUUGGCUUCAUCUCUGUGGCUUCAUAAUGGGGAGAGGGAGAAAAGACCUCCUGGAGGAGACCUGAGACUGCUUGUGGUGUCCUCUCCUUGAGGGACACAACAGGU
rnacentral:snoRNA from 1 species